UACGAAGGGGGCUAGCGUUGCUCGGAAUUAUUGGGCGUAAAGAGCUCGUAGGCGGUCUGUCGCGUCUGCUGUGAAAACCUAGGGCUUAACUCUGGGCGUGCAGUGGGUACGGGCAGGCUAGAGUGCGGUAGGGGAGACUGGAAUUCCUGGUGUAGCGGUGGAAUGCGCAGAUAUCAGGAGGAACACCGGUGGCGAAGGCGGUUCUCUGGGCAUUACCUGACGCUGAGGAGCGAAAGUGUGGGGAGCGAACAGG
rnacentral:rRNA from 1 species